AAAAAUAACUCUUUCUUUUAGAAUCAACUCUUAUUUAGUGCUCCAAAGAACCGACUCUUGUUAGUCACGUGUCACGAAUAGGUUAGGUGUAGAUUUUAAUAUUAAAAAAAAGAAAAUAUUUUUUCUUCGUCUCUGUUCUCUCUCUCUCUCUCUCUCACAUUUCUUCGAUCGUCGAUUGAUUCAUACUCAUCCUCUGUUUUUGAUUUGGAAACAGAUUGAUUCAAUUGUAAAUUCGAAUUGAGGAUUUGAUUGAUUGGAUCAUCUCCUUUCAUAACUUUCGAAAUCCUUUGAAUUGAGAACCUCGAAGAUCUUCCUGAGAAUGUUGAAUGCAUGAUGGGUUGUGAAGCUUUUCAGAUAUUAGAUGGAAUUAAGAGACACUUGGUUGGGUUGUCUGAAGACCUUUCCAUUAUAAUUCAUGUAUAUGUCUUAUUGCAAAUGCUUCUCCAGAUACCGUAGAUGAAGUUCUUGCCUUUAUUCCAUCGCUGAAGGCUAAAAAAUAGGUGAUCAAUCAACCCCUAGAAGAUGCAUUGGUGGAGUUAUCCAAACUGAAGAAACCAGAAUGAUGAGCAGACGAAUGCAGUUAACUGUUCAAUGCUAGGAGUUGUUUCCAGCUAAAAUUAAAUGGUAUUGACGUCUUUGACUUACCAUGAUUAUGACGAAGGAACUGGAAUGCUGCAGGUGGACUUGGUGUGGAGGCAUUGUUUCCCUGUGUACUGGAAUGGAGAUAAUCUGUGUACUGGUGGCCAUUGGUUCUUGAAUACUUUAUCACUUCGUGUCUAGUUGCUGUAAUGACAUUGCAAUGACUCUUCAAGGCAACAAGAGAGCAAAACAAGUCAGAGGCAUGGUUCUAAACCUAUGAAUCUAUGAUCAAUGCUUUUGGUGAUAGCUCAAUGUCUAUGUAUCCAAAUCUUUAUCCAAUUCUUGUAUUCUAUACAACAUCAAACACUUUCACCAAAUCUUUAACAUAAAAUUUGGAUCACAACAUUUAAACAAGUUAAGUUCCAAUA